GACGAACGCUGGCGGCGGGCUUAACACAUGCAAGUCGAACUGAAAGGCCCUGCUUUUGUGGGGUGCUCGAGUGGCGAACGGGUGAGUAACACGUGAGUAACCUGCCCUUGACUUUGGGAUAACUUCAGGAAACUGGGACUAAUACCGGAUAGGAGCUCCUGCUGCAUGGUGGGGGUUGGAAAGUUUCGGCGGUUGGGGAUGGACUCGCGGCGUAUCAGCUUGUUGGUGGGGUAGUGGCUUACUAAGUCUUUGACGGGUAUCCAGCCUGAGAGGGUGACCGGACAAAUUGGGACUGAGAUACAGCCAAGACUCCUACGGGAGGGAGCAGUGGGGAAUAUUGCACAAUGGGCGGCAGCCUGAUGCAGCAACGCCGCGUGCCGGAUGACGGCCUUCGGGUUGUAAUGCGCUUUCGCCUGUGACGAAGCGUGAGUGACGGGAAUGGGUAAAGAAGCACCGGCUAACUACGUG
rnacentral:rRNA from 1 species